GGCAGUUAUCGCCCCCCAUAUCUUCCUCCCACAUCGCUGAAAACUGCAUAUGCAACCUACGCUCAUCAUAAUCCUUCCUUUUGUAGCAAAAAUUGUGUUCAAUCACCUUCAUCCUCACUCUUAUUUCUUACACAAAGCCCUAAUUUUUUUUUCUUCCUUCUCGAAUUCACAUCUAAAUUGGUGAAAUUAGAAGGUUCGUCCAUGUGAUCACAAUGCAUUUAACAUAAAAGAAGAGACGGAUGUGAAAUCAAGCAACGAUGGAGGAUGGCCCAAAUUUUGGAGGGUGGAUUAUGAUGGAGGGCCACCCUCACUUUUUUCUUCAUUCUAAAACAUAUAUUACAUGAUGGAGGGUGACCCAAAUUUUGUUUGGGGUUUUUAGCAGGUGAACGCUCCUCCAUAAAUCGUACUCCAUUGCUGGAAAGUAUCAGAAAGCUUACAAUCGGUAGAAUUUGACUCAAGAGGUUACAAAACAGUUUCCAAGUGCAGUUCUAUCAACCCCCACUACCCAAAAUUGCGGUACACUUUUCUUAUAGAAACCAUACAUCCAACACUCUGGUUCUCCAGACGCAGAAGAGGAAGAGCAAGAUUCGAGAGCUGACUCUUCGAGAAAUUAGCGACAUUAAGCCAUCACUAUCAUCUUCUUCAGCAGCAAUUUCAUUAGCAUGAAAUUAUUUUAUUCGAUUGGCAGCAGGUGGCAGCACAUAGGUAGAGCAUCCACUUCAACUGUUAUAAGAUCAUGGGGGUUAUGUUAUUUUAUUUGAAAGAACUGAGAAGACACAUAGACGCCCAAAAGCUACGAGGUCUAAAACUGAGGCGCGAAGCGCAAAAGCAGCGGGCUUUUCGUACCCAAGGCGCAAAGUGAGUAUAUAAAAUCUAUUGUACAACAGUUUAAUGCAUAAAAACAACGUAAAAACACCCUAGGUACAAGAGGCGCGCUCCUCAGGUCAGAAAAACCGUCCAAAAUUGCUCUAUUUGGUGCUUCUUGUAAGAAGCACGCCUCAGGCUAUUAAAGGUGCCAAGGCUUGCGCCUCACGCGUCAGGCGCACUUUUUAAAACCCAGAAUAGGAGGUGGUGUUAUAGAAGAGUUUUAGAAGGAAUGGAUUGUUCCCACAGCCCACACCCUUAAUUUCAUUAUAUAACCGAAUUCCAAAGUCAUGAGCCAAAGGUAUGCAUUAUCUCCAUCUUUUUCUUAUAACAAAAUUAGAUUCCUUGUGGUUUGUUUCAUGUGAAUUAAUUCUACUGUUGGUGCUUGUAUCUUCGGUUUGACUAUCUAAAAAGCUUGGAAAUUGAGGAGAAUAUCAACAAGAUCAGAUGGUGUUAAAGAACUAACAACGCCAUGUUUUUGCUGUCCUUUAAUUAUAAAACUCUAAAAUUCUUGAAGGUACAGGUUCUAGAAAAAGGUCUGAUAGUAUUAUAGUACCACUGUAAUAGGUUGCCAUAUAAUGUUUUUUUAUAUUAUACACGGUCUAAGGUGGCAUCAUGGGGGUUGGUUGGGUCGCGUAACCUGUUAAAACGGAUAAUAUUUUUAGGGUGGGUCCAAGCAUGUUGGAUUGGGUGAGUUGACCUGCGAUUACAGAAAACUAUUAUUAGUGUAAUAAUUUUAAUUUUUAAUAAAAUUAUCUAAGACUUUCUUUGCAUUGAAGGGUCGAAACUGUUUUUUUGUGUGGAUUAGAUGGGUCGUGUAACCUUUCCCGAUUGCAACACCAACACGUUGUACGUUACCAUCAGGUAAGUUUCUAUGUUGUCCUUUUUCACAAUAUAUAAGAGGUAGUAAAAUGGGCAGGACUGACAAGGCCAGAAGGUGCAACUUUUUGUUACAGGUCGGGUCUAACCGAACGCUCUUUAUGUGUAAAUUUAUUAAAUUUUCUUUGCAAAUAAUUACUAUUUGGCACAUUUCGUUUUACGUUAUAUUUUUACGUGUUUGACCCGUUUGAGAUGAAACAUAGCUUGAAUUUACACUUCCAUAAGUGAAUGGGUCAAAGUUAGAAGACUGUUAUAUACUACAUCAAGUAGAACGCCAUGUAAAAUAUGAUCAUGUCACUAGCUUUUGAAGGUGACUCAUAUGUAUUUGUGAAAAAUAAUCCAGGCAUGGUUUGCAACAGGAGAUGCUAGUUGUUAUGGUGAUGCCACAUGGGGUUCAAGGACUACAGUUAGCUCUAGCUUCAAUAUAUAGAUCAUAGUUCGACGGAUGUCGUUGGGCACUACAAGUCUACAACAAAGUUGAAACAUAUCUUUAUAUUCGGAAUACUGUCCAAGGCAGUUGUGUCUACUGUAGAGGAGAUAAAUCCUAAUGUCUACAUGUGAGCUGUUCUUUGUUACUUUGUGCCUGAUGGGGUGUCUCUGCACUCAAAAGAACUGAAAGAACGGGCACAUCAAAUAGGAAUGUAAACGUUUUACCCACAAGCUAUCCAAGGUUACAACACUAUUAGAUGUCAUUGACGAAGUCUUUUCUUUGACAUAUAGAUAUGUCCAUUGCUACUUCGAGUUUUCACCAAGGUCGGCGGUCAUCACAGCCACGUAGACUGUAUUCAAAAGACGAAAUUUAAAUAUAUACAUGGAUGGAUGCUACACUUCAUGAGCUAACUGAUCUGGUAUGCCAAAUGAUCCAUAUUUGGACAAUUUAAUUUGUGCUUUGUGGUCGAAAGUGUAUUCCAUGUUCUUUUUUGUUCCUUGAACACGCUAUCCAUUAAAAAAAACACCACUUAGGAUCAAGUGGGUUAUGCAUUAUGUAUGUAAUAAAAUAUGGGAGUUCUUCAUCAAAAGAUAGUGCUGUUGUAUGUAUGUAAUAAAAUAUGAAAGCACUUUUAUUUGUCUGACAUUACUGCUCCGCUUUUGAAAGCACUUU
rnacentral:lncRNA from 1 species